CUAACAUUAAAAGGAUGGCAUAUGGGAUAAUGCAUGGCACUUUUCUCCUUGCCCAGGAACGUCAGAUUCCUGAGUCCCAGGUCGUGGCUCCAUCAUCGCCCUCCCAUCCCAGGUCCUGAGCCAACCCAACAGAACUCAAGGGCAUGGAUUAGCUAGAAUCUGCUACUUAUCCUGGAGCUGGAUCUUUGCUCUAAGUUACUUUGGGAAUUCAUAGCAAGAUCAGCAGGGACUGAAGCUGUCGUGGGAAGGAAGACUUCCUGGAAGAGGUGAAAUGUGGAACUGGAUAGAGUUUGGAUCGGUGGAAAGGUGGUUCAAGGGGAACUUCCUGUUCGUUUAUCUCUCUGCCUUCAAAGCAUUCCUCUGCUACUCCGUCUCUCUGGUCUUGGACCAGGGCCCUGUGCAUGACCUGGCUGCGUGCCACCUGCUUCCUGAGGACCCCUGGGACCUCCUCCUGUUCCUCUGUCUCUCCAGAUGAGGAAAGUGACAAGCCGGUGAUAUUCCUGAGGUCACUUAGCAAGUGGACGGCAGAGCUGGGAUUUGAACUCAGGCCUUCAUCGCGUACCUGGAUCACAGGGCACCACGUGUGGGCCCCUCACAACAUGCCAUGAAGGCUCCCCUACUCAACAGGGCCAUUCUUGGGAACAUGGUGGGCGAGACCAAUCAGAACAAGAGGUGAUGCUGAUGCUGAUACAUUUGGGCUUUUUCACAACUUGGGCAACUGGUUUUUCCUCUAGACCAGUGCUGGUUUUCUUUUUUUGAGGUAGCCCUGAGCUAACUGCCGCCAAUCCUCCUCUUUUUGCUGAGGAAGGCUGGCCCUGAGCUAACAUCCAUGCCCAUCUUCCUCUACUUUAUACGUGGGACGCCUACCACACCAUGGCUUGCCAAGCAGUGCCAUGUCCGCACCCAGGAUCCAAACCGGUGAACCCCGGGCCGCUGAAGCGGAACGUGCGAACUUAACCGCUGCAUCACUGGGCUGGCCCCAAGACCAGUGCUGUUGCAUAGACAUAUAACAUGAGCCACAACUACAAGUCACAUAUAUAAUUUAAGAUUUUCUAGUAGCCACCUUUAACAGAAGGAAAAAGAAACAAGUACAAUGAAUUUUAAUAAUAUGCUUAAUUUAACCCAAUAUUAUAAAAACCAAGAUUGUAAAAAAGGUUAUCAUUUCAAGAUGCACUUUGUGUAAAAAAAAUAUUAGUGAGAUUUGUUUACAUUUUUUUACCGUCUUUGAAAUCUAGUGCGUAUUUUACACUUACAGCUCAUCUCACUUUGGACCAGCCACAUCAAGGGCUCAAUGGCCACAUGUGGCUAGUAGCCCCCAAUUGGACAGAGCAGCUUUAAGCCCCUCAUUAUCCAAAGCCCAGGAUGCUGCACCCCCUGCCCUGACCUGGGCUUUGUCUGCACAUACCUUUCUCCUCCAGCCCCAAUGUCCACGGGCCCGUAGGCAUCCUAGCAACUGUCCAGUCCCCAACAGAUUUCACGUUAUAUUUAUUCCAUAGAGUUCUCAGAGCCCCGGAUGGGGAGGUGGGCUGGGGGACGUGGAGGCUGCCUUUAGGCCCUUGCUCUCAGCCCCGUGCAUUGCUGUAAUCCGAGCGUCCUGAAGAGGAUUUG
rnacentral:lncRNA from 1 species